GAAUUAUUGGGCGUAGAGGGCUCGCAGGCGGUUUCUUAAGUCUGAUGUGAAAGCCCCCGGCUCAACCGGGGAGGGUCAUUGGAAACUGGGAAACUUGAGUGCAGAAGAGGAGAGUGGAAUUCCACGUGUAGCGGUGAAAUGCGUAGAGAUGUGGAGGAACACCAGUGGCGAAGGCGACUCUCUGGUCUGUAACUGACGCUGAGGAGCGAAAGCGUGGGGAGCGAACAGGAUUAGAUACCCUGGUAGUCCACGCCGUAAACGAUGAGUGCUAAGUGUUAGGGGGUUUCCGCCCCUUAGUGCUGCAGCUAACGCAUUAAGCACUCCGCCUGGGGAGUACGGUCGCAAGACUGAAACUCAAAGGAAUUGACGGGGGCCCGCACAAGCGGUGGAGCAUGUGGUUUAAUUCGAAGCAACGCGAAGAACCUUACCAGGUCUUGACAUCCUCUGACAACCCUAGAGAUAGGGCUUUCCCUUCGGGGACAGAGUGACAGGUGGUGCAUGGUUGUCGUCAGCUCGUGUCGUGAG
rnacentral:rRNA from 1 species